UUUUAGAGGAACCAACCCGUAGUCCAGAUGAAAAUCAACACAAAACGUAUGAUGGUACGAGCGACAGCCCAGCCGUAUGACCCACGAUCCAUCUCAUCUUCCACCUCUAGCGCGCCGCACCCCUGCCACGCCGCCGGUCUUAGCCCCUACCCUACCCCAAGUCCCCCCACCCUCGCGGCCUUCCACCGCUGGCGAGAGUCCACGGUGCGGCCGCUGCUAGCUCCCCCUGCCUCUGCUACCACGGCACCGCCGGGAAUCUUAUCCCCCGCCAUGCGAGUUGUCAUGGAGGCAGAGCUGAUUCGCCACGGGUGUGACGGCGGGGGUAAAGAUGAUGGUGCACUUGGAGGCACUGGGACGGGGAGCGAGGUGAAGAAGAUGGGGUAGAAAGCAGUUGUGGUGCAUGUGUGCCUCACCUCCAUUGUUUUGUGACCAAGCCCACCUGAAAUCUAGGCGGCAAAUUAUUCAUGGAUAUGCGGUACAAACCAUCCCUAUGAGAAAUCCAAUGGAUUCGAUGCGAAUUGAGGAAGGAGCCGGAGCAGAUGGUGGGUUGAGGAAGGAGCUGGAGCAGAGGCGGAUUUGAGGCUUCCCCUACACGUGCUAAGAGGCAGGAGGAAAAUAUGAGGCACCGGCGAUCCGGACGCUGCAGUGUUUUCUCCGUCUCUCCUGGUGCGAGACCAUAAAUUCAGAGGAUGUGCAAGAUGAAACAUGGUGCAUGAUGCUUCAUGAGCAUAAUUGUAAUGAUUACAAACUUUCUUAGGAAAACCAAUACAACAGUGAUAAAUAUAAUUUCAUUUAUAGCACAUGUUUUGAACUGUAUUUUAUAUACAAUUUCUAUAUCAUGGUGGAACACAAAAUGUAAAUAGAAAAGAAUAGCACUGGCCAAUGUAUAUUUUGCAAGUUUAGAUAUAUACAUGCUUAACUAAAGUAUGCACAAUGCAUAUUGUGGAAUCACACGGCAAAUAUUCAUGCUUUACUAAAUGCAUAUGCUCCAUUUUGACAACUGUGAAUCUCUUUUGGGGACAGUUCUAUGUGGCCUUGGAUCAAUCCUGAACUGGUUGGUGUUAUAUACCCAUUCUCUUCACAUGACCCAAUAGGUAUUAGAGAGGAACAUGUUACUUUGGUUACUUUUAUCUUCAUUUUACGCAAUUUAGCUUGUUGCAACUAUGGUUGUAUGUUGCAGUUGAUAAGAUCCUUUUAGUUAGAUGGCAAUCUUCUAUCCUUUUCAUUGUACUAUGUUUUUGAAGCUCUGAUGUUUACUUGAAAAAUAGAAACUAGCAAAAUUUUGUUUGCCGCUGCUUGGUCAGGCAAAGCCACCUGCUCGUUACUAUGUGCGGUUCUCUUGCUAUUUUAUGGGGUGCAACCGGAAGUGGC
rnacentral:rRNA from 1 species